ensembl:lncRNA
UUCUGAGAUCAGAGUUGAAGGCAGUUUGAGCUUUGGUGGCACGAGGGCUGAUUUCUCUAAGAUCCCUCUGAGCACAGCCGGCUGGCCUGGUUAGCUUUGAUUAGCAAAGGGCAUCCACAGCACAGCUUCGGUGCUUCAAAGUUGCAUAGGGGUUCUGAGUGCAAAAUCAUUGCAUGUAUGCGUGCUGCUUCCCAGCUUGCACGUGUGGGCGGCCCAUAGCAGAGCAUUGCAGGGUAUGCCCUCUGCAGCGCUCGUCUUUGCGGGUUUGGGUACAAAUAGCUGUGCGUGGCAGGGGAUCAAAGUUACAGAUAAUAUCAGUGAUGCAGACUUUGAUGUGUCACGAAGGCUGCUGCUGAUGGCAGUGUUUUAUAGCCCAGGUGAGGUCAGUGUCCUCUGGUGAAAGAUGAGGGCAGCCUCCCGGAUGGCAUUGGCAUAAUAAAGCAGUUCCUAACUUUGGAAAGGUCUCCCUUAUGAGAUGUGCUGCUAAAUGACUCCUUUCAGUGGGUUCUCUUUCGGGAUUUCGGUUGGUGCAGCUCUUCUCCUUCAUGGCUCUGUGGUUAUGCAGAUGGAACGGCCUGAUUAGGAAGACUGAAGGACAGAGACUGGGAACGGAGUUCCUGGACAUCAGUGGGACCUUCUGCCUGCCUGGAGGGGACAGAGGUGCUGCAGCCUUGGAUUAUGGGAUGCAGGUGGAUGACCGACGUACAGCAUGGACCUGGGACCUACUGGGGGAAGUCCUGGAGGAAAAGCACUGCUCACAGAUCCAGACGCUCCUGGGGAACUGGUGCCACCAGAUAAAGCUCAUUCCUGAGCUCAAGCUUGUUGCCUCCUGCUCAGCAACUGAUAAGGGAGCUGCGGUGCUUGCUUGGCCAUGAAAUAACGCAGGGAAACUCCAGUAAGACAGCGUCAUUGCAGAGCCUCCAAUUCCGGUUUAGGGAUUUCCUGACCCGGUUAUCGUGCUGCUGUACGUCCGAUUGCUAUCACACGCUCUGCUUCCGCUGUGAGCCAGCAGUGAGUUUGCUCUUGUUUGCAUAGCUGUGUAAGGAAGAGCUUCGGAGUUUCUUGUUGGAAAGUACUGGUGUGACCCCACUGCAAUGGGGUCAGUGCUGGCUGUGCCCUGGGCAGAGCAUCCAUAGGGAUGCAGCAGAACCCUCAGCACCAGCGGACGGAACCCUGCAAGGUGCAUCUUCCAGUGUCCUGCCAGCUGUGCCUCUGAGAAGUGACAUCCCUGCAGGAGCUCAAGCAGGGUGAGCCCUGCGCCCUGACCGGGUGGGGUGACCAGCCAACAACAGGGGGGUUGGGACUGGGUGAC